GGUUAAGCGACUAAGCGUACACGGUGGAUGCCCUGGCAGUCAGAGGCGAUGAAGGACGUGCUAAUCUGCGAUAAGCGUCGGUGAGGUGAUAUGAACCGUUAUAACCGGCGAUUUCCGAAUGGGGAAACCCAGUGUGUUUCGACACACUAUCAUUAACUGAAUCCAUAGGUUAAUGAGGCGAACCGGGGGAACUGAAACAUCUAAGUACCCCGAGGAAAAGAAAUCAACCGAGAUUCCCCAGUAGCGGCGAGCGAACGGGGAGGAGCCCAGAGCCUGAAUCAGUGUGUGUGUUAGUGGAAGCGUCUGGAAAGGCGCGCGAUACAGGGUGACAGCCCCGUACACAAAAAUGCACAUAUUGUGAGCUCGAUGAGUAGGGCGGGACACGUGGUAUCCUGUCUGAAUAUGGGGGGACCAUCCUCCAAGGCUAAAUACUCCUGACUGACCGAUAGUGAACCAGUACCGUGAGGGAAAGGCGAAAAGAACCCCGGCGAGGGGAGUGAAAAAGAACCUGAAACCGUGUACGUACAAGCAGUGGGAGCCUCUUAAUGGGGUGACUGCGUACCUUUUGUAUAAUGGGUCAGCGACUUAUAUUCUGUAGCAAGGUUAACCGAAUAGGGGAGCCGAAGGGAAACCGAGUCUUAACUGGGCGUUAAGUUGCAGGGUAUAGACCCGAAACCCGGUGAUCUAGCCAUGGGCAGGUUGAAGGUUGGGUAACACUAACUGGAGGACCGAACCGACUAAUGUUGAAAAAUUAGCGGAUGACUUGUGGCUGGGGGUGAAAGGCCAAUCAAACCGGGAGAUAGCUGGUUCUCCCCGAAAGCUAUUUAGGUAGCGCCUCGUGAAUUCAUCUCCGGGGGUAGAGCACUGUUUCGGCAAGGGGGUCAUCCCGACUUACCAACCCGAUGCAAACUGCGAAUACCGGAGAAUGUUAUCACGGGAGACACACGGCGGGUGCUAACGUCCGUCGUGAAGAGGGAAACAACCCAGACCGCCAGCUAAGGUCCCAAAGUCAUGGUUAAGUGGGAAACGAUGUGGGAAGGCCCAGACAGCCAGGAUGUUGGCUUAGAAGCAGCCAUCAUUUAAAGAAAGCGUAAUAGCUCACUGGUCGAGUCGGCCUGCGCGGAAGAUGUAACGGGGCUAAACCAUGCACCGAAGCUGCGGCAGCGACGCUUAUGCGUUGUUGGGUAGGGGAGCGUUCUGUAAGCCUGUGAAGGUGUGCUGUGAGGCAUGCUGGAGGUAUCAGAAGUGCGAAUGCUGACAUAAGUAACGAUAAAGCGGGUGAAAAGCCCGCUCGCCGGAAGACCAAGGGUUCCUGUCCAACGUUAAUCGGGGCAGGGUGAGUCGACCCCUAAGGCGAGGCCGAAAGGCGUAGUCGAUGGGAAACAGGUUAAUAUUCCUGUACUUGGUGUUACUGCGAAGGGGGGACGGAGAAGGCUAUGUUGGCCGGGCGACGGUUGUCCCGGUUUAAGCGUGUAGGCUGGUUUUCCAGGCAAAUCCGGAAAACCAAGGCUGAGGCGUGAUGACGAGGCACUACGGUGCUGAAGCAACAAAUGCCCUGCUUCCAGGAAAAGCCUCUAAGCAUCAGGUAACAUCAAAUCGUACCCCAAACCGACACAGGUGGUCAGGUAGAGAAUACCAAGGCGCUUGAGAGAACUCGGGUGAAGGAACUAGGCAAAAUGGUGCCGUAACUUCGGGAGAAGGCACGCUGAUAUGUAGGUGAAGCGACUUGCUCGUGGAGCUGAAAUCAGUCGAAGAUACCAGCUGGCUGCAACUGUUUAUUAAAAACACAGCACUGUGCAAACACGAAAGUGGACGUAUACGGUGUGACGCCUGCCCGGUGCCGGAAGGUUAAUUGAUGGGGUUAGCGGCAACGCGAAGCUCUUGAUCGAAGCCCCGGUAAACGGCGGCCGUAACUAUAACGGUCCUAAGGUAGCGAAAUUCCUUGUCGGGUAAGUUCCGACCUGCACGAAUGGCGUAAUGAUGGCCAGGCUGUCUCCACCCGAGACUCAGUGAAAUUGAACUCGCUGUGAAGAUGCAGUGUACCCGCGGCAAGACGGAAAGACCCCGUGAACCUUUACUAUAGCUUGACACUGAACAUUGAGCCUUGAUGUGUAGGAUAGGUGGGAGGCUUUGAAGUGUGGACGCCAGUCUGCAUGGAGCCGACCUUGAAAUACCACCCUUUAAUGUUUGAUGUUCUAACGUUGGCCCGUAAUCCGGGUUGCGGACAGUGUCUGGUGGGUAGUUUGACUGGGGCGGUCUCCUCCUAAAGAGUAACGGAGGAGCACGAAGGUUGGCUAAUCCUGGUCGGACAUCAGGAGGUUAGUGCAAUGGCAUAAGCCAGCUUGACUGCGAGCGUGACGGCGCGAGCAGGUGCGAAAGCAGGUCAUAGUGAUCCGGUGGUUCUGAAUGGAAGGGCCAUCGCUCAACGGAUAAAAGGUACUCCGGGGAUAACAGGCUGAUACCGCCCAAGAGUUCAUAUCGACGGCGGUGUUUGGCACCUCGAUGUCGGCUCAUCACAUCCUGGGGCUGAAGUAGGUCCCAAGGGUAUGGCUGUUCGCCAUUUAAAGUGGUACGCGAGCUGGGUUUAGAACGUCGUGAGACAGUUCGGUCCCUAUCUGCCGUGGGCGCUGGAGAACUGAGGGGGGCUGCUCCUAGUACGAGAGGACCGGAGUGGACGCAUCACUGGUGUUCGGGUUGUCAUGCCAAUGGCACUGCCCGGUAGCUAAAUGCGGAAGAGAUAAGUGCUGAAAGCAUCUAAGCACGAAACUUGCCCCGAGAUGAGUUCUCCCUGAGACUUAGAGUCUCCUGAAGGAACGUUGAAGACGACGACGUUGAUAGGCCGGGUGUGUAAGCGCAGCGAUGCGUUGAGCUAACCGGUACUAAUGAACCGUGAGGCUUAACCUU
rnacentral:rRNA from 1 species